AAACUGGAAGAGAAGCAGGAGGAGAAACUGGAGGAGAAACAGACCUGCAGCAAAGGAGGUCCUUCCAGUCAGGGUUCUGGAGAUUGAGUAGACAGGAUCAAGAUCAGAUCCAGGACCUGGAUCAGAUCCAGGACCUGGAUCUGAUCUGAUCUGGAUCUGGAUCAAAUUUCUCUCAGUUGUUCUGACACAAACAGAUUCAACCGUUUUGAAAUAAAAAUCUCUUUCUCCAAGUUUGAAGGAGAAACAAUUCCUCCAGAAUCUUCAGGAUUCUCAGAAGAUGAAACUGGAUCAUAAAACACAAAGUCACCUCAUCAGAACCAGAACUCUCUCCUGGAGCGUGUUCAGAGUGUUCCAGUCCUGAUCCAGUUUCAUCUGGAUGAUGAUGAUGAUGAUGAUGAUGCAUCUCUCAGGAGGAUCUAUCUUGAUAUAAUCUCCUUCAAAGGAUCAAAGUCUUGAUUCUUGAUCAUUCAUCAGGUUCUGUUGAUCUUUUUGAAACUUUAAUCCUCUGAUCUGAUCUGAUCUGAUCUGAUCUGAUCACGUUCAUGUAUAAAACACAAUUUCAUCAAACACUUUCAUCUUUCUGCCUCCUGUGAGGCAUGGUGGUGGGAGUGUCAUGAUGUGAAUCCUCUGAGUUUGUGGUUCAAAUCCUGAAGGAAACUUGAUUCAGACGUAAAGAUCUGGACUUCAGAGAAGAAAAAAUCCAAAUCUGGAACCGAGGAGAACGAGGAGGAGAACGAGGAGGAGACACAAGGAGGAGACACGAGGAGGAGACACGAGGAGGAGACACGAGGAGGAGAACGAGGAGGGAGGAAGGUCCGACUGGAGGUCAGGAAGUUCCUCUGACCCGUUUAGAACCAACCACCAGAACAACCGGGCUGAAGCUGGGCCGGAUCCUCCUCACUGUUGUGGAAGCAGGGCUCCUCCUCUCUACUCCUCCUCUCUACUCCUCCUCUCUGCUCCUCCUCUCUGCUCCUCCUCUCUACUCCUCCUCUCUACUCCUCUCUGCUCUUCCUCUCUACUCCUCCUCCCUGCUCCUCCUCUCUGCUCCUCCUCUCUACUCCUCCUCUCUGUGUUGGGUUCCUGGUUGCCCUCUCCACGCCCCUGGUUUCCUGCUCACCUGCAUCUCAUCUUGUCAUCAGCCUGGAGCCUUCAUCAGCCCACCAUCACCUUCAGUCAUCGUCAGUUCGUCUGCUUCACGUGGUCACCACCAUCCACCACUCCACGCCAACCGGUCCGGACUCCAGGUCGCCACCAUCACUGCACCACGCAAACCCACCCGGACGCAAGAGAACCACCAUCCGCCACACCACAUUAAAACUCUUCUAAAUCCAUCUCUGUCUCCCGCCUGCUCUUGGGUCCAGAACUCUUACAAACCUAA
rnacentral:lncRNA from 1 species